rnacentral:lncRNA from 1 species
GCCCACCUAGCAUCAAGCCCUGCGCUGCACCGAUUCUGACUAGAGUCAACUGCUGCUGCAUGAAAGCUGAUUGUGAUUGCUUCAUUUCUGUCGUCUGGUCUGUCUGUGGAGGUCAACAACUGCCUCGCUGAAACGAGUGCAUUGAUACUGCUGCCUAGAUUCAUUUGUGCGGCAAUUGUGCCAAAGUGCACCCUGAGCAUCUGCCCAAGGACCUCAUGCAUGAUGCAUCCCCACUCCUGCUUAUCUAUACCAGCUUUUAUUCAGUUAAACGACUCAUCCCAAUGCUCAACGUAUCGCCUGAGCUGCAGCAGCAAGGACUUCGCGAGGUGGGGGAUAGUAGUCAGUGCUGUCCUGCAAUUCCGCGAAGGCAGUUUCGAACACUGCUCUCAGGCAUUGGGGCGCCGUUUUGUUCAAAUAUUAACGUUAAAUUCUCGUCAGAAAGGACCAUCGCAAUGAUCGGCACCUAAAGUGUGCUGCAGGGAUCACCACCUAGGCGCCCGAGACUCCACAGCUCGGCAGUGUACGGAUAAAGACGUCAGACCACCAGAUACACAAGAUCUCGUAGCCCUUACUGUAGUAAUUGUGGGAAAAUACAAAACAGCUAUAUUCCAAUCACCGCUGUGUAAAUUCGCCAAAAUAAAGUGCUCACUUAUCACAAGUGGGGGUGCUUGACAGCGCGUGUAGCACAAUAACAAUCAUUGACGUGCUCGCACCUUGUUAAAAGGUUGCCAAUUCUACCUAACGUGAUGAACAUCACAUCUAAACAUGCUUCAGAGCUGCUCCUUGACAUCAGUUUCUGGCUCCAGCUAUGCCUGGCAUCCUCCAGUACUCACUGCUAGCAGACUCGCUUUGCGCCGUUGAGAGCUCUGUGAACACACUCAACCCUUCGAUGGAUGCCGAAACUUGAAAGGCGCCAGCUUCCAUGUUCAUGCCUCCGGCGCUGGCUUGCAUUC